GGCACACUGACGCUGGCCAACCUCCGCCUCCCACCCCUCAUCGUCGCGCUAGGCGGAACGAUGGCAACUUCAUUGAUGGUCUGCAAGACCGCAGAUGCGCGAGCUGGCGACUUCUAUUGGUUUUGCUGCUACAAAAUUUUAUACUUCUACCCUGUACCUAGCAUCGGUAAGUAUAAUCACCUCGUUAUCUAUGGUGUUUAGCUAAACAAACGUUUUGUAUCCUCUCCUCUUGACAAGGUUCCAUGUGUUGUAGUUGUUUAGCUAAACAAACAGUGCGCACCAAUCCAAUCUCUCCUACUCUGCCUCUCAUUCCCAGAUUUCUCUCUCUGGAUUCCCUUCUUUCUCAUGAGCAAAUUUGGUCAAAUAAUUGUGUGAUUGGUCAGGAAAGGAGAUGCAAGGAAGGUGUUGAUUUUGCACAGAUUGUCUGUGUCGUCAGGUUUGAGACAGGCAUCAGAUGAACCAUACGUCGCCGGUGCUGAUGGUGGUUUAUGUUUCUUGCCUACCCAUACACUACAGUGCAGA